rnacentral:rRNA from 1 species
AACUUUCAACAACGGAUCUCUUGGUUCCGGCAUCGAUGAAGAACGCAGCGAAAUGCGAUACGUAAUGUGAAUUGCAAAUUCAGUGAAUCAUCGAGUCUUUGAACGCACAUUGCGCCCCCUGGUAUUCCGGGGGGCAUGCCUGUCCGAGC